rnacentral:snRNA from 1 species
AUAUAUUUUAAAAAAAAGAAGAAGAAGAUUACCAUGGCCCCUGCACAAGGAUGACACACAAAAUUCAUGAAGCGUUCCAUAAAAAA